rnacentral:rRNA from 1 species
UGGGGAAUUUUGGACAAUGGGCGAAAGCCUGAUCCAGCAAUGCCGCGUGUGUGAAGAAGGCCUUCGGGUUGUAAAGCACUUUUGUCCGGAAAGAAAUCCUCUGGGUUAAUACCUCGGGGGGAUGACGGUACCGGAAGAAUAAGCACCGGCUAACUACGUGCCAGCAGCCGCGGUAAUACGUAGGGUGCAAGCGUUAAUCGGAAUUACUGGGCGUAAAGCGUGCGCAGGCGGUUUUGUAAGACGGAUGUGAAAUCCCCGGGCUUAACCUGGGAACUGCAUUCGUGACUGCAAGGCUAGAGUAUGGCAGAGGGGGGUUAGAAUUCCACGUGUAGCAGUGAAAUGCGUAGAGAUGUGGAGGAAUACCGAUGGCGAAGGCAGCCCCCUGGGCCAAUACUGACGCUCAUGCACGAAAGCGUGGGGAGCAAACAGGAUUAGAUACCCUGGUAGUCCACGCCCUAAACGAUGUCAACUAGUUGUUGGGGAUUCAUUUCCUUAGUAACGUAGCUAACGCGUGAAGUUGACCGUCUGGGGAGUACGGUCGCAAGAUUAAAACUCAAAUGGAAUUGACGGGGUCAUAGCUGUUUCC